GUCCAGACUCCUACGGGAGGCAGCAGUGGGGAAUAUUGCACAGUGGGGGAAACCCUGAUGCAGCGACGCCGCGUGGGUGAAGAAGCGCCUCGGCGCGUAAAGCCCUGUCAGCAGGGAAGAAAAUGACGGUACCUGAAGAAGAAGCCCCGGCUAACUACGUGCCAGCAGCCGCGGUAAUACGUAGGGGGCAAGCGUUAUCCGGAUUUACUGGGUGUAAAGGGGGCGCAGACGGCGAUGCAAGCCAGGAGUGAAAGCCCGGGGCCCAACCCCGGGACUGCGCUUGGAACUGCGUGGCUGGAGUGCAGGAGGGGCAGGCGGAAUUCCUGGUGUAGCGGUGAAAUGCGUAGAUAUUAGGAGGAACACCAGUGGCGAAGGCGGCCUGCUGGACGAUGACUGACGUUGAGGCUCGAAAGCGUGGGGAGCAAACAGGAUUAGAUACCCCUGUAUG
rnacentral:rRNA from 1 species